UCUUACUGAACUAGCAGCUUGUAGAUUAGUAACUGGAUUCUGCUCCCCCAAUAUCAUUGGGAGUUUUGCCAUUGACUUCAAUAGAUGCAGGACUGGACCCCUUGGAAACGCCUGAUUAUUGGAUAACUCCAAGCACUGGAGAGAGCUGACAUUGUUGACACAUAGCAGGAAUGAUAAAGCAGCUUUUGGGCAAAAGGACAAACUCCUCUUUGCACUCUGCAAAACCUUCUUUUUGUGUGCCUGAAAUCUCUGGGUGAAGAAGGAAACAUGGCAGUCUAUUUCUCUUCCAGGUUGGCAGCUUGGGUGGGAAACGUGAAAGACUCAAAAGGCUGCACCUAUGCUCCCAUUUCUGAGCAGAGGCCAACUUUGCUGAAGCCUGUGUGAUUCAGUGUAAUGCCGUUGGUUCAUACCAGCUGGGGAUGGACAAACCGAGGGCUGGUGACCAGAAGAUACUUGCUACCAGCUGAAAUUGAGGAUCCUUCACAGGUGGCAGGUGAGGACUCCACCUUGUUUUCUGGGAUAUCCCACAGCUCAGCUUCCACCUGCCUCAAGCUGCUCUAGGAGGUCUCCACAGUGAAUUAAAUGGAUUUAGGUCCUUUGUCCUAAAUGACAAGCCAGCUGUCACCUUUCGUGUCAGUGCAGAGGAGAAGCUAGGAGAGUGUCCUCACCACCACACAGUUGUGACUUCCUGAGGGGGGGAGAUGCUGUGGGCUCUUGAAUACAGGGGAUCCUGGUUAGCCCCAUUGGAAUAGGCUGUCAAUGUCCAGAUGAAAUUGAAUGGCAGGCACCUGAUAUUCAAUUUGUUUUUCAAAAUUUAAACAAAUGUAUUUGAUUUGGGAUGGGCUCCUAGGUUCAGGUUUCCCCCUGCGACUAGUGUUGAACUACUUUAACAAGGGAAAUCAUAUUUGUUGGUCUAAAGGCUCUAGGGUGCCUAGUCAACAACUUUUUUUUUUUCUUUCUUUCUUUAAUUGCUACAUGUCAUGUUACCUUAUUUUUAACUUGAUUUGCACCAGGGAAAACCAUGCUCCAGAAGAAUUGCAGAUACAGUUUGCAUUGUUUUCAGCCUUCUGCGUACUGGCCAAAUAGUUUCUAAAUCAUGUGUAUGCUCUCUCACUUUUUCACCCAUAAUUUACUCUGAAUAGGUUUCAGGAAUACUUACCCCAGUCAUUUCCCAGGCAGUGAUCUGGUAAGUAAUUCAAAAGUGUUCAUGGUCAUCAUUUAUUCAGAUUACAAACAGUGAAGCAAUUUAACAGUUGCUCAGAUAUGGAAACUCCUGAGACCAGCUUUCUUGCCUUUUUUCUCUUACUUUGUUCUUUUUUGAAAUAGGACCAUUCUGGUGUCCAUGAAAUGGAAAAUAAUUGUCCCACCAUUCUUGCAACUCAUAAAAAAAAUUGGAAUUCUACAUCCCCCUGCUGGAAAAAUGUUUUGAGAAUGCACACAACUUUAUGCCAUUACCUAAUCCUUGUGAACCUGGCAGUUUGGAAAGCAAAGCAAACUAAUAUAUAGCAAAUUCCUCCUCUUUUUCUGCUUAAUUAGUGGGUAGUCCACCUAUGAGAAUUCCUUUUAAAGCAACAGACCUUUUCUACCUAAGAAAUAUACUGGUCGUUCAACAAGGCACAGCAUUGCUGCAGAUUUUGUUGUGGAGAAUGUCUGAGAAAUGAAUGCCUUCACAGGAAAAUAAUAAUAAGGUUUAAAGGGGGUGGGGAAUCAGAAAUAACAAAUUAGUGUGAUAAAAUUGCCUUCAAAAUCCUGAUGAUGGAUGAAAAAUUCUCCUAAGUGAAUCCAGUAUGCUUAAUUAAACUUAAUUGUACAAAGAAUCAUUUGUAAAUGGCUAUAUGUGGAAAAGAAUAAAAAUGCUGGGUGUUAUCAUUUCUUCCCAAAGAUGCUGCUGCAAAAAGGCAUUGUGUUGUUGGCAGUAUUAAGCAAGCUGUGACAUCCAUCAAGAUGAAUGUGUUUACGUGCAUACCUGGUGACAUAAUUUGAAGUGGUAUAUUGUACAUAUAAAAUCCUGAUCAAACUUA